AGACGUCUACAUUAGAUACCCGGGUAGUCCCAGCCGUAAACUAUGCGCGUUAGGUGUAUCGGUGACUACGAGUUACCGAGGUGCCGAAGGGAAACCGUGAAACGUGCCGCCUGGGAAGUACGGUCGCAAGGCUGAAACUUAAGGAAUUGGCGGGGAGCACCACAACAGGUGGAGCCUGCGGUUUAAUUGGACUCAACGCCGGGAAGCUCACCGGAUAGGACAGCAGAAUGAUUGCCGGGCUGAAGACCCUGCAUGACUAGCUG
rnacentral:rRNA from 1 species